AUACCUUUCUCGGUCUUUUGGCUAAGAUCAAAUGUAGUAUCUGUUUUUAUCAGUUUAAUAUCAGAUAUGUGGACUGUAUGUCCUCGUGUGUUCUUGGGUGUUGUACUACCACCCGGGUGUGAUGCACCCCAACCAAAUCUAAUUAAUAUUUUUAUGUGAUUUUAUCAAGCCUAACCAUGGCUUAAAAUCUGUAUAACAGUAUUUGACUACGUUUCCAACUCAGGUGGUAAAGGAAAAUGGCUU
rnacentral:snRNA from 1 species